CCUCGAAUCAGGUAGGACUACCCGCUGAACU
rnacentral:rRNA from 1 species